GCCUCUGUGGCUUAGCGGUACAUCAUGAUUAGUAAAAAAUGGUCCGUAAUAGCAGCAGAUUCGUAAUCUGCAGGUCGGGGGUUCAAUUCCCCCCAGAGGCU
rnacentral:tRNA from 1 species